rnacentral:rRNA from 1 species
CCUGGCUCCGUAUGAACGCUAGCUACAGGCUUAACACAUGCAAGUCGAGGGUCAGCAUGGUCUUAGCUUGCUAAGGCCGAUGGCGACCGGCGCACGGGUGAGUAACACGUAUCCAACCUGCCGUCUACUCUUGGACAGCCUUCUGAAAGGAAGAUUAAUACAAGAUGGCAUCAUGAGUCCGCAUGUUCACAUGAUUAAAGGUAUUCCGGUAGACGAUGGGGAUGCGUUCCAUUAGAUAGUAGGCGGGGUAACGGCCCACCUAGUCUUCGAUGGAUAGGGGUUCUGAGAGGAAGGUCCCCCACAUUGGAACUGAGACACGGUCCAAACUCCUACGGGAGGCAGCAGUGAGGAAUAUUGGUCAAUGGGCGAGAGCCUGAACCAGCCAAGUAGCGUGAAGGAUGACUGCCCUAUGGGUUGUAAACUUCUUUUAUAAAGGAAUAAAGUCGGGUAUGGAUACCCGUUUGCAUGUACUUUAUGAAUAAGGAUCGGCUAACUCCGUGCCAGCAGCCGCGGUAAUACGGAGGAUCCGAGCGUUAUCCGGAUUUAUUGGGUUUAAAGGGAGCGUAGAUGGAUGUUUAAGUCAGUUGUGAAAGUUUGCGGCUCAACCGUAAAAUUGCAGUUGAUACUGGAUAUCUUGAGUGCAGUUGAGGCAGGCGGAAUUCUUGGUGUAGCGGUGAAAUGCUUAGAUAUCACGAAGAACUCCGAUUGCGAAGGCAGCCUGCUAAGCUGCAACUGACAUUGAGGCUCGAAAGUGUGGGUAUCAAACAGGAUUAGAUACCCUGGUAGUCCACACGGUAAACGAUGAAUACUCGCUGUUUGCGAUAUACGGCAAGCGGCCAAGCGAAAGCGUUAAGUAUUCCACCUGGGGAGUACGCCGGCAACGGUGAAACUCAAAGGAAUUGACGGGGGCCCGCACAAGCGGAGGAACAUGUGGUUUAAUUCGAUGAUACGCGAGGAACCUUACCCGGGCUUAAAUUGCAGAUGAAUUACGGUGAAAGCCGUAAGCCGCAAGGCAUCUGUGAAGGUGCUGCAUGGUUGUCGUCAGCUCGUGCCGUGAGGUGUCGGCUUAAGUGUCAUAACGAGCGCAACCCUUGUUGUCAGUUACUAACAGGUUCCGCUGAGGACUCUGACAAGACUGCCAUCGUAAGAUGUGAGGAAGGUGGGGAUGACGUCAAAUCAGCACGGCCCUUACGUCCGGGGCUACACACGUGUUACAAUGGGGGGUACAGAGGGCCGCUACCACGCGAGUGGAUGCCAAUCCCCAAAACCUCUCUCAGUUCGGACUGGAGUCUGCAACCCGACUCCACGAAGCUGGAUUCGCUAGUAAUCGCGCAUCAGCCACGGCGCGGUGAAUACGUUCCCGGGCCUUGUACACACCGCCCG